CUACGUGCCAGCAGCCGCGGUAAUACGGAAGGUCCAGGCGUUAUCCGGAUUUAUUGGGUUUAAAGGGAGUGUAGGCGGUUUGUUAAGCGUGUUGUGAAAUUUAGAUGCUCAACAUUUAACUUGCAGCGCGAACUGUCAGACUUGAGUACACGCAACGUAUGCGGAAUUCAUGGUGUAGCGGUGAAAUGCUUAGAUAUCAUGAAGAACUCCGAUUGCGAAGGCAGCAUACGGGAGUGUAACUGACGCUUAAGCUCGAAGGUGCGGGUAUCGAACAGGAUUAGAUACCCUGGUAGUCCGCACAGUAAACGAUGGAUGCCCGCUGUUAGCGCCUAGCGUUAGCGGCUAAGCGAAAGCAUUAAGCAUCCCACCUGGGGAGUACGCCGGCAACGGUGAAACUCAAAGGAAUUGACGGGGGCCCGCACAAGCGGAGGAACAUGUGGUUUAAUUCGAUGAUACGCGAGGAACCUUACCCGGGCUUGAAUUGCAGAGGAAUUAUUUAGAGAUA
rnacentral:rRNA from 1 species